GUCGAGCGGAACGAUCCUAGCUUGCUAGGAGGCGUCGAGCGGCGGACGGGUGAGUAAUGCAUAGGAAUCUACCCAGUCGUGGGGGAUAACCUGAGGAAACUCAGGCUAAUACCGCAUACGUCCUACGGGAGAAAGCGGGGGCUCUUCGGACCUCGCGCGAUUGGAUGAGCCUAUGUCGGAUUAGCUUGUUGGUAAGGUAACGGCUUACCAAGGCGACGAUCCGUAGCUGGUCUGAGAGGAUGAUCAGCCACACCGGGACUGAGACACGGCCCGGACUCCUACGGGAGGCAGCAGUGGGGAAUAUUGGACAAUGGGCGAAAGCCUGAUCCAGCCAUGCCGCGUGUGUGAAGAAGGCUUUCGGGUUGUAAAGCACUUUCAGCGAGGAAGAAAGCGUGCCGGCCAAUACCCGGUACGGACGACAUCACUCGCAGAAGAAGCACCGGCUAACUCCGUGCCAGCAGCCGCGGUAAUACGGAGGGUGCAAGCGUUAAUCGGAAUUACUGGGCGUAAAGCGCGCGUAGGCGGCGUGUCACGCCGGGUGUGAAAGCCCCGGGCUCAACCUGGGAACGGCAUCCGGAACGGGCAGGCUAGAGUGCAGGAGAGGAAGGUAGAAUUCCCGGUGUAGCGGUGAAAUGCGUAGAGAUCGGGAGGAAUACCAGUGGCGAAGGCGGCCUUCUGGACUGACACUGACGCUGAGGUGCGAAAGCGUGGGUAGCAAACAGGAUUAGAUACCCUGGUAGUCCACGCCGUAACGAUGUCGACUAGCCGUUGGGUCCCUUGAGGACUUAGUGGCGCAGUUAACGCGAUAAGUCGACCGCCUGGGGAGUACGGCCGCAAGGUUAAAACUCAAAUGAAUUGACGGGGGCCCGCACAAGCGGUGGAGCAUGUGGUUUAAUUCGAUGCAACGCGAAGAACCUUACCUACCCUUGACAUCCUGCGAACCCGGGAAGAG
rnacentral:rRNA from 1 species